rnacentral:lncRNA from 1 species
AUAUUGUAUGUUUGAUCAUUUUGUCCUCCCCUAACCCCCUUUGGGCACUAUCUCAGACUUUAAAUAUUCUAAAUAAUUUUGGCAGUAUGUGAAAAAUGAAUUUUAUGUCACUAAGCGAUUCAUGGAAAUAUUUUUGUAGUACCUACAUGUACAGAUUUCUUAACCAAUUAUGUAUAUUUGAGUUCCUAAGAAUAGAAGUAACUUUUUAAUGACCUUCAGGUACACAUAUUUGUAUUAAAAUAAACCUUGGUUCCUAACUGUCAUCAUUGGUCUACAAUUGGAUGAGGAGAUCCAAGGAAGAGCUCCAAAUUCACAAUGAGGUUCUUAUAAAUAGCUUUACAAAUCUAAGUUAAAAAGAAACUAAAUUUUUUAGCUAUUUAAAAAAAACCCAUUGUGAAUUUAGAGUUCUUCCUUUAGAUUCAUAAGGCAACAUAGCAGAAUCCUUUCAGAAGUUGCUGUAU